UUUAGGAAAUUUUAAAAAAUAAUGAUUCCGGAACUGUAUUAAAAUCCUAUUACUUGAAAAGGAUGGCCGCUUCUGGAUGUGCAAUCGUGGCAAGAUAUGUCCUUGGAGCAGGGGUGAAGGAGCUGACCGCUGGUAAACAGCGCAGCGGCUUGGCAACAGGAUGAUCCCGCUAGGUCAAGACU
rnacentral:lncRNA from 1 species